rnacentral:rRNA from 1 species
GGUAAGGUGAUAUGAACCGUUAUAACCGGCGAUACCCGAAUGGGGAAACCCAGUGUGAUUCGUCACACUAUCAUUAACUGAAUCCAUAGGUUAAUGAGGCGAACCGGGGGAACUGAAACAUCUAAGUACCCCGAGGAAAAGAAAUCAACCGAGAUUCCCCCAGUAGCGGCGAGCGAACGGGGAGGAGCCCAGAGCCUGAAUCAGCAUGUGUGUUAGUGGAAGCGUCUGGAAAGGCGCGCGAUACAGGGUGACAGCCCCGUACACAAAAGCGCAUGUGCUGUGAGCUCGAUGAGUAGGGCGGGACACGUGGUAUCCUGUCUGAAUAUGGGGGGACCAUCCUCCAAGGCUAAAUACUCCUGACUGACCGAUAGUGAACCAGUACCGUGAGGGAAAGGCGAAAAGAACCCCGGCGAGGGGAGUGAAAAAGAACCUGAAACCGUGUACGUACAAGCAGUGGGAGCCCCACCACCAAAGCAUUCUCUGGUGUUGAAGGCCCUGCAAAGCAGCAUCGCGGUGGCGGA